rnacentral:sRNA from 1 species
GCUGGGUGCAGGGGCACACACCUGUUAUCCAGCUACUUGGGAGGCUGAGACAGGAGGAUCUCAAGUUUGAGACCAGCCUUCACAACUUAGUGAGGCCCUAAGUAACUCAGUGAGACCCUGUCUCUA